rnacentral:rRNA from 1 species
GAUGAACGCUGGCGGCGUGCCUAAUACAUGCAAGUCGAGCGAACGGACGAGAAGCUUGCUUCUCUGAUGUUAGCGGCGGACGGGUGAGUAACACGUGGAUAACAUACCUCUAAGACUGGGAUAACUUCGGGAAACCGGAGCUAAUACCGGAUGAUAUUUUGAACCGCAUGGUUCAAAAGUGAAAGACGGUCUUGCUGUCACUUAUAGAUGGAUCCGCGCUGCAUUAGCUAGUUGGUAAGGUAACGGCUUACCAAGGCAACGAUGCAUAGCCGACCUGAGAGGGUGAUCGGCCACACUGGAACUGAGACACGGUCCAGACUCCUACGGGAGGCAGCAGUAGGGAAUCUUCCGCAAUGGGCGAAAGCCUGACGGAGCAACGCCGCGUGAGUGAUGAAGGUCUUCGGAUCGUAAAACUCUGUUAUUAGGGAAGAACAUAUGUGUAAGUAACUGUGCACAUCUUGACGGUACCUAAUCAGAAAGCCACGGCUAACUACGUG